AUUGAACGCUGGCGGCAGGCCUAACACAUGCCAGUCGAGCGGAUGAAGGGAGCUUGCUCCUGGAUUCAGCGGCGGACGGGUGAGUAAUGCCUAGGAAUCUGCCUGGGAGUGGGGGAUAACGUCCGGAAACGGGCGCUAAUACCGCAUACGUCCUGAGGGAGAAAGUGGGGGAUCUUCGGACCUCACGCUAUCAGAUGAGCCUAGGUCGGAUUAGCUAGUUGGUGGGGUAAAGGCCUACCAAGGCGACGAUCCGUAACUGGUCUGAGAGGAUGAUCAGUCACACUGGAACUGAGACACGGUCCAGACUCCUACGGGAGGCAGCAGUGGGGAAUAUUGGACAAUGGGCGAAAGCCUGAUCCAGCCAUGCCGCGUGUGUGAAGAAGGUCUUCGGAUUGUAAAGCACUUUAAGUUGGGAGGAAGGGCAGUAAGUUAAUACCUUGCUGUUUUGACGUUACCAACAGAAUAAGCACCGGCUAACUUCGUG
rnacentral:rRNA from 1 species